UACGUAGGGGGCAAGCGUUGUCCGGAAUUAUUGGGCGUAAAGAGCGCGUAGGCGGUCCGAUAAGUCGGCUGUGAAAGUCAAGGGCUCAACCCUUGAAAGCCGGCCGAUACUGUCGGACUACGAGUCCGGAAGAGGCGAGUGGAAUUCCCGGUGUAGCGGUGAAAUGCGCAGAUAUCGGGAGGAACACCAAUGGCGAAGGCAGCUCGCUGGGACGGUACUGACGCUGAGGCGGCGAAAGCGUGGGGAGCAAACAGGAGUUAGAUGACCCCUGU
rnacentral:rRNA from 1 species